ACGGAGGGUGCAAGCGUUAUCCGGAAUCAUUGGGUUUAAAGGGUCCGCAGGCGGACUGAUAAGUCAGUGGUGAAAUCCCGUAGCUUAACUACGGAACUGCCAUUGAAACUGUCAGUCUUGAAUUCGGUCGAAGUGGGCGGAAUGUGUCAUGUAGCGGUGAAAUGCAUAGAUAUGACACAGAACACCGAUAGCGAAGGCAGCUCACUAGGCCUGAAUUGACGCUCAGGGACGAAAGCGUGGGGAGCGAACAGG
rnacentral:rRNA from 1 species